rnacentral:lncRNA from 1 species
CAAGACUUUAAACAAUCUAACAUACAGCAUUAUCAUUUUAAAAUGCUUGUUAACUUUCAACUUUUCUUAUUCUUUGUUGUGCUUCUUUUCCUAAGGUGGCUGUAUAUCUGGGGAUUGUUGGAUGGUAGUGAUCACUGACAUGAUGGUUGAAAUGUUCAGAAGAGAAAGCACUCUAACACCUCCAACCUUAAAAGGUUGGUUUCCUGAUAGGAGGGUUUUCUCAGAUAAGGAGGAGGAAAUAAUCAGCAUACCACCAAAGAGUGCAAUAAAAGCACAUUAUCGAGUAGGCUGAUGCUAAAAUUCUGUCAGAAAAAACAUCAUCAUGAUCCUUCUCUUCUGUGUAACCUUUCAUGUUAUACUGGUCUCAGGUUCCUCUCUCAGCAACAGAGUCAACCAGAUUCCAGGUGACAUGUACAAGAAACCUGGGGAAACAGCCCAAAUCAAAUGUUCUCACAGUAUUCAGGACUACACCCAAAUCCUCUGGUACAAGCAAUUAAAGAACAAGCAGCUGAAGUUCCUGGGAUACAUGAACGUGAACGAUGGAUAUCCAGAAGAUAAAGAGGAUGUGAAAAUAGAAGGGUCUGCAACUCAAGACAAGAACUGCACAUUAACAAUUGAAAAACUCAAUGUGGGCAGCAGUGUAGUGUACUUCUGUGCUGCUAGUCAACACAAUGCUACAUAUCAUUGCUCUUCAAUACAAAAACAUCCCAGUAACAGUUUUUUUUCAUUUAACAGCCACCAUUUAACUGCUCAACCCUGACACCUGUGUAAACCGAUUUUAACCAAUGUUGGUCUUCGAUCUCAUCCAGAUCAGAUUUUAUAAUGGAGCUUCCUUAUGUGCAGCUAUGCAACACUUGACAGCAGCCUCAGACAUUCAGUAUGUCUGGUGUGGCUUCAUCUUACUGUAAAUAACCCAUGAAUGACAGUAUUGUCUCAUCAAAGUCAAGGACACUUCACUAAAUUUUGUACUACUAUAUAGGCAAAGUAACCAAGAGAUGUUUUCAUAUAUGCAGACUAAGGCAGCAACCAAGCCCAUGUUAGCUGUGAUCUCUUGUGCCUACCAAUAUUUGUAAACACAC